UGAGUUGUGGCUCAGUGGUAGAGCACUUGCCUCAUAUGUAUGAGGCCCUGGGUUUGAUCCUGAGCACCACAU
rfam:Ictidomys tridecemlineatus contig013959, whole genome shotgun sequence.